rnacentral:misc_RNA from 1 species
AACGCAACUUGCACCUUUUGGUAUUCCGAAAGGUAUGCCUGUUUGAGUGUCUGAAAUUAACCGUGUGUUUUGCACCGGAUUUGGGUAAUGCAAUUAGGUUGCUUGCCUUAAAUAGAUUAGUCGGAAUUUUCCCAAGUAACAAAGCGUAAUAAGUUUCGCUACGUGAAACGGAUUGAAGCUGGCUUCUAAUCGCCGUUUGGCAAUUUUUAGAUUUAGACCUCAAAUCAGGUAGGACUACCCGCUGAACUUAA